UACGAAGGGGGCUAGCGUUGUUCGGAAUUACUGGGCGUAAAGCGCACGUAGGUGGAUAUUUAAGUCAGGGGUGAAAUCCCAGAGCUCAACUCUGGAACUGCCUUUGAUACUGGGUAUCUUGAGUAUGGAAGAGGUAAGUGGAAUUGCGAGUGUAGAGGUGAAAUUCGUAGAUAUUCGCAGGAACACCAGUGGCGAAGGCGGCUUACUGGUCCAUAACUGACGCUGAGGUGCGAAAGCGUGGGGAGCAAACAGG
rnacentral:rRNA from 1 species